rnacentral:rRNA from 1 species
GGUUAAGCGACUAAGCGUACACGGUGGAUGCCCUGGCAGUCAGAGGCGAUGAAGGACGUGCUAAUCUGCGAUAAGCGUCGGUAAGGUGAUAUGAACCGUUAUAACCGGCGAUUUCCGAAUGGGGAAACCCAGUGUGAUUCGUCACACUAUCAUUAUGUGAAUACAUAGCGUAAUGAAGCGAACCGGGGGAACUGAAACAUCUAAGUACCCCGAGGAAAAGAAAUCAACCGAGAUUCCCCCAGUAGCGGCGAGCGAACGGGGAGCAGCCCAGAGUCUGAAUCAGCAUGUGUGUUAGUGGAAGCGUCUGGAAAGUCGCACGAUACAGGGUGAAAGUCCCGUACACAAAAGUGCAUGUGUUGUGAACUCGAAGAGUAGGGCGGGACACGUGGUAUCCUGUCUGAAUAUGGGGGGACCAUCCUCCAAGGCUAAAUACUCCUGACUGACCGAUAGUGAACCAGUACCGUGAGGGAAAGGCGAAAAGAACCCCGGCGAGGGGAGUGAAAAAGAACCUGAAACCGUGUACGUACAAGCAGUGGGAGCA